GACGAACGCUGGCGGCGUGCCUAAUACAUGCAAGUAGAACGCUGAAGGAGGAGCUUGCUUCUCUGGAUGAGUUGCGAACGGGUGAGUAACGCGUAGGUAACCUGCCUGGUAGCGGGGGAUAACUAUUGGAAACGAUAGCUAAUACCGCAUAAUAGUAGAUGUUGCAUGACAUUUGCUUAAAAGGUGCAAUUGCAUCACUACCAGAUGGACCUGCGUUGUAUUAGCUAGUUGGUGGGGUAACGGCUCACCAAGGCGACGAUACAUAGCCGACCUGAGAGGGUGAUCGGCCACACUGGGACUGUGACACGGCCCAGACUCCUACGGGAGGCAGCAGUAGGGAAUCUUCGGCAAUGGACGGAAGUCUGACCGAGCAACGCCGCGUGAGUGAAGAAGGUUUUCGGAUCGUAAAGCUCUGUUGUAAGAGAAGAACGAGUGUGAGAGUGGAAAGUUCACACUGUGACGGUAUCUUACCAGAAAGGGACGGCUAACUACGUG
rnacentral:rRNA from 1 species